rnacentral:rRNA from 1 species
UACAGAGGGGGCAAGCGUUGUUCGGAAUUACUGGGCGUAAAGGGCGCGUAGGCGGCCUUCUAAGUCGAACGUGAAAUCCCCGGGCUCAACCGGGAACUGCGUCCGAUACUGGAAGGCUUGAAUCCGGGAGAGGGAUGCGGAAUUCCAGGUGUAGCGGUGAAAUGCGUAGAUAUCUGGAGGAACACCGGUGGCGAAGGCGGCAUCCUGGACCGGCAUUGACGCUGAGGCGCGAAAGCCAGGGGAGCAAACGGGG